rnacentral:rRNA from 1 species
AAAGCUCGUAGUCGAAUCUGUGUCCCGCGCCGCCGGUUCAUCGUCCGCGGUGUUAACUGGCGUGUCGCGGGACGUCCUGCCGGUGGGCUUAGCUCGCAAAGGGGCCCAACUCAAUCCCGCCGCGGUGCUCUUCACUGAGUGUCGAGGUGGGCCGGCACGUUUACUUUGAACAAAUUAGAGUGCUUAAAGCAGGCUAAAAUUUUGCCUGAAUACUGUGUGCAUGGAAUAAUGGAAUAGGACCUCGGUUCUAUUUUGUUGGUUUUCGGAACCCCGAGGUAAUGAUUAAUAGGAACGGAUGGGGGCAUUCGUAUUGCGACGUUAGAGGUGAAAUUCUUGGAUCGUCGCAAGACGGACAGAAGCGAAAGCAUUUGCCAAAAACGCUUUCAUUGAUCAAGAACGAAAGUUAGAGGUUCGAAGGCGAUCAGAUACCGCCCUAGUUCUAACCAUAAACGAUGCCAGCUAGCGAUCCGCCGACGUUCCUCCGAUGACUCGGCGGGCAGCUUCCGGGAAACCAAAGCUUUUGGGUUCCGGGGGAAGUAUGGUUGCAAAGCUGAAACU